GCAAGAUCUGACUCUUGGCUGGCUUGCUCCAGAAUGCUCGUUCCUAACUGCCCUGCCCUGCCACCUCUUACAUGUGCUACUGCUUUAUCACUGUUUUUCCAGUUCCUCCAGGGAGCUUUGAUUUCCUCCUACUUGGGAUGAGAAUUCCUUUUCCCACCAGACUGGUACAGAUGUCUUGGUCUGGAUUCACAGAGGAGGCGGCACUGCUGAGUGAGAGGGUGAAGCGUAUAAAUUGACAGCGUAUAAAUCCAGGUAGGAUCUGGGAGCCACCGCAACCUAGACAGCCCUCCAAUGGGCAGAGAGAGUGGAGACUUCAUAUGCCAUGCUCCACAGCUCUCUGAAUGCCUUUUGAAGAUCAAAGAAAGAUUGGGUCAUUUAGUCUUGUCUUGGUAAUUGCUGUAUGUCUUCUAUUUUUAUUGUAUUUAGACUCAUUGACCUUGGAAAGCCGGUUUUGUGGACACAGAAACUUAGUGGGCUACAAUAAAAACUAGCUAUUUUAUGAUCUCUGAUGGUUU
rnacentral:lncRNA from 1 species